AGCCCACCAUUCCCAGUCUCUUCCUGGCUCCCCGCCUCCCCGCCUUAGGUGAAGCUCACUUUCCCGCUGCUGCACUGGUUCCUUUGCCGUGUCUCAGAGCCGAGGUGGGAGUGCUGCUGACCCCACCACAACGUCCAGACCCCUCCCAGGCCUCCCCUCACACCUGCUCCCCUGAUGUCACACCACCCUCUCCUGUCCCCCAGGCCCCCCCGCCCCCGCCCCCGAACAUUCAGCCUUGCAUAAAACAAGGGUCUCUCUCUUCUCUCCAAAUUAAAUACAAUUUCCUUCUUUCCUGAAUCAAGUCUGCCACCUGGGGUGUUAGGGCCACAUUGUGGUUUGGUAUUUAGUCCUUUUCCCUACCAAGAACUUUGAGAACUCGCCCCCUACUCGGCGUGGGGCAGGAACUGGUAGGGACAGAAUCACUCACCUCCCAUCCCAUUGGCUCUGUUGGGACUAAGCCCUCAAAUGGGCAAAGUCCUCCCAAGCCACCCGAGCAAGGGUACCAAGAGGUCCCCCCCAGUUUGCGGGAACAGCUUCAGCUGUGCCUUUAGCUCCAAACCUCCCCCCACAGGGACACACACGGGUCAUUUCCUGCUGAGCCACACGAGGCCUGGCCCUGGCUGGCUUCCCGGUCCCUCUUGUUUGUCCACAAGGUACGACCUUCCCUUGAUCAGCAACCCUAAGCUCCCCGGGCCCACAGGCUAGACUGAGCCCCUGGACCUGCCCGGAACCUCUGGGGGGCCUUUGAGGCCCUGGAAACAGAGAGCUCGGGACCCAGCCCACACUCUCCAAUCAUCCCUCAUGAAGCCUAGCACCAAGGCCAUGACAUUCUAUGUGGUACGUGGUUAGCACAGUCCUUGAACUGUGCUCUGUCCAAACUCCGUAACAGCGCUAAGAAAACCCAAAGUAAUUACACACUAAACUCUAGUCAUCUUGGUGGGUUAGGUGUAAAAUGGCAAAAUGACCUACUCAGACCAAAUGAAGAAAUCUUUUAAAAUAUAUAAUAGGAAGGUCCCUUAUGGGCAGCAGGUGAACGGCCAUAGCUCUGGCUGGGGUUCAAUCCUGGGCCCAUGGCUGCAGCCAAAAGGAAACAAUAAAAAACAAUAAAAUAGGUAACAAAUGCUCCCUCUCGCCCAGCGGGGCAGAAGAUGGGUUCCAAGUUUGGCUCACCCCAGAGGUCCAAGGACAGCUGGUGGCUUUGGCCAGUUUUCUGGAAGUGGGUUAGCUGCUCGGCACCUAGUCAGAAUGGCAUCUCUCAUCUUGCUGUUUUCUGGGAUACCACACAUUCCAGGGAGCCGCACUCACCUCUGUAGAGGUAUCUGGGGCCAGGCCAGCCAGGGUGUGGUCACCACCAGUGCGCUGGGAGAAGCAGCAGCCCAGCCGCCCAGCAAGGUAGUGGCCAGGCAGGAGGGGACAUCUCACAAGGUUUUAAUUUGCAUUUCCCGGAGGAUUAGCAAUGCUGAGCAUCUUUUCACGUGCCUGUGGGCCAUUUAUGUCUUCUUUGGAAAAACUGUCUAUUCAGGUCUUCAGCUCAUAUUUUAAUUAGUUUGUUUGGGGUUGAUUAUUUUGUUGUUUUGGGCCACAUUUCGGCAUAUGGAGGUUCCCAAGCCAGGGAUCAAAUCAGUGCCUCAGCAGUGACCUGAGCUGCUGCCAAGACAACAUGCUGUGGCCACAGUGGGAACUCCAGUUGUUUGGUCUUUAGAUGUCGGGAGCCAUAAGGCUGCUCCAGUAAAGAAAGCAAAGCCACAGUCGGCAACUGCAUGAGGCUUGUCUGGUUAGCAGAGCUACAGACAAGCUGAAGAAAGAAGAAGGAUUGCAGAGCAAUCCCUUGAAAGACAUCGGCUCCAGGAAAAUAAAAAUGAUAUCCCCUAAAAAAUACGUUAAUCUAUUUUUCUGUGUUUAUCUUUCCUUUUCUUUCUCUAUUCACAGCUUUCUUACUGCUAAAGAUUUGCCCUGGGUACGUAAAACACUUGAACCAAAACAGAAUGAAGUUGUUUAAACAAUGUAAUGGAAAAAGCCUUUGUUUUGGAGUAACAAUUUAUGGCACCUAUUUUGUGAGAGUAUACAGGGGAAACUUAUGAUUUCAGUCCCUUUAUUUAAAAAGAAGUUUGGGGCUGGGAAAAAUGUUGUUUGGCCUAUAAAUUGCUAUUUUCUAUAAUAGAUAUAUUUUUUAUCAAAUAACAGUGUCACCUGUAACUUUCAUCCUUUGUGGGGGCAUUUGAUAAUUUUGGGUAUAAUACUCCUUUCUAUUGAAAUUGGUGGUUUGGAACUUACGUAAAUCAGCACAAUAGGUUAAAUGCUUAGCUUGCUGGCGCCAAAUAAAUCGUGGUUUUAAGAAUGUCAUGAGCCCAAAGCUUUCAUGCGUUUUGUUAACUACAUACACCGUUAGUUAAAGAAUGUUAGGUAUCAUAGUUUAUUACUUAUUAAAGCUUUGUUCUUAAUAUAGAAUAGAAUAGCUACUGUUGUUGACCUUUUAAGAAAAAUACAGUGUGAAACUUUAAGUUUGUAAUCUUGAAGGAAAAAUCUAAAGUUGAAAGGAACAUGUUUUAACUAACCUUCUUUUUUUGUAUCUCGGGUGGAGGGAACAAAAGGGCUUUAAAUCAAAUGUUAAUGUCAAAUCUUACACGAAACCUGAUUGUGAAAGGGUAUAAAAACUGAGGCUUUUCAUUUAAUAAAUUGGGUCCUCUGCAGCAGGCAGCUGAGGAGUUGGCUCCAAUUCUUUCCGCGCCGUUUGUAGCCCAUCCUCUCCUUCGGCGCUCCCUGGCUGCUGGGGCUGGACCUCGGCAUUUAGAUGUUGAGUUGUGUGAGCUGUUCAUAUGUGUUGGAUAUUAACCCCUUACUGGUUAUGUCAUUUGCAAAUAUUUUCUCCCAUUCAGUACAUUGUCUUUUGAUUUUGCCAAUGGUUUCUUUGCUGUGCAAAAGCUUCUAAGUUUAAUUAGAUCCCAUUUGUUUAUUUUAGCUUUUAUUUCUUUCGCCUUCAGAAACAGAUCCAAUUUCGGAUUUAUGUCAAAGAGUACCCAGCACCAAGGGACAUGAUAGACCCCAGGGCAAACAGCAACCACCCUGGCUUCAAGGGACACUUUUUUUCCCUAAGUGGAGGUAAAACAGAAAAGGAGGGAGUUCCCAUCAUGGCUCAGUGGUUAACGAAUCCGACUAGGAACCAUGAGGUUUCGGGUUCGAUCCCUGACCUUCUCGGUGGGUUAAGGAUCCGGUGUAGCCGUGAGCUGUGCUGUAGGUCGCAGACGCAGCUUGGAUCCGACGUUGCUGUGGCUGUGGCGUAGGCCAGUGGCUACAGCUCCGAUUAGACUCCUAGCCUGGGAACCUCCAUAUGCCA
rnacentral:lncRNA from 1 species